AGAGUUUGAUCCUGGCUCAGGAUGAACGCUGGCGGCAUGCCUAAUACAUGCAGGUCGAACGGAAGCAGCAAUGCUUUAGUGGCGAACGGGUGAGGAAUAUAUAGACAACCUAUCUUUAAGUCGAGGAUAGCAGUUGGAAACGACUGGUAAUACUGGAUAGGAUUCAAGUUCACAUGAACUACUAUUUAAAGGGGCAAUUGCCCCGCUUGAUGAGGGGUCUAUAUCGCAUUAGCUAGUUGGUGGGGUAACAGCCUACCAAGGCGAUGAUGCGUAGCUGUGCUGAGAGGCAAAACAGCCACAUUGGGACUGAGACACGGCCCAAACUCCUACGGGAGGCAGCAGUAGGGAAUUUUCGGCAAUGGGGGCAACCCUGACCGAGCAAUGCCGCGUGAAUGAUGAAGGUCUUCGGAUCGUAAAGUUCUGUUAUCAGGAAAGAACGACAUAGAGAGUGGAAAGCUCUAUGCAUGACGGUACCNGAUCAGAAAGCCC
rnacentral:rRNA from 1 species